rnacentral:rRNA from 1 species
AGCGAACGCUGGCGGCAGGCCUAACACAUGCAAGUCGAACGAACUCUUCGGAGUUAGUGGCGGACGGGUGAGUAACACGUGGGAACGUGCCUUUUGGUUCGGAAUAACUCAGGGAAACUUGUGCUAAUACCGAAUGUGCUCUUCGGGGGAAAGAUUUAUCGCCAUUGGAGCGGCGCGCGUCUGAUUAGCUGGUUGGUGAGGUAACGGCUCACCAAGGCGACGAUCAGUAGCUGGUCUGAGAGGAUGACCAGCCACACUGGGACUGAGACACGGCCCAGACUCCUACGGGAGGGAGCAGUGGGGAAUCUUGCGCAAUGGGCGAAAGCCUGACGCAGCCAUGCCGCGUGAAUGAUGAAGGUCUUAGGAUUGUAAAAUUCUUUCACCGGGGACGAUAAUGACGGUACCCGGAGAAGAAGCCCCGGCUAACUUCGUG